rnacentral:snoRNA from 1 species
GUUGCACAUUGUUAGAGUUUGGAGUUGAGGCCACUGGCCGAUGAACUCACAAGUGUAGGUAGUGUGCUAUAUGAGGGGCAAGUUUUUCGCUAACAUCACAAGGGUCUCUGGCCCAAUAAGUGGAGUUUGAGAGUAAUACUUGCUACAAUU